rnacentral:rRNA from 1 species
AGCGAACGCUGGCGGCAGGCCUAACACAUGCAAGUCGAACGAUCCUUUCGGGGUUAGUGGCGGACGGGUGAGUAACACGUGGGAACGUGCCUUUAGGUUCGGAAUAACUCAGGGAAACUUGUGCUAAUACCGAAUGUGCCCUUCGGGGGAAAGAUUAAUCGCCUUUAGAGCGGCCCGCGUCUGAUUAGCUAGUUGGUUGAGGUAAUGGCUCACCAAGGCGACGAUCAGUAGCUGGUCUGAGAGGAUGAUCAGCCACAUUGGGACUGAGACACGGCCCAAACUCCUACGGGAGGCAGCAGUGGGGAAUCUUGCGCAAUGGGCGAAAGCCUGACGCAGCCAUGCCGCGUGAAUGAUGAAGGUCUUAGGAUUGUAAAAUUCUUUCACCGGGGACGAUAAUGACGGUACCCGGAGAAGAAGCCCCGGCUAACUUCGUG